CACACAUACAUAUACACACACACACAUACACACAUACAUACACACAUACACACGCACAAACAUGUGCACACACCCACAGAAAAAGAAAUUAAAAUGCUACAUCCAGUGUUUGUGUCAUUUUCAGAAGUUGAGGACAUCGUGACUAUCACUGGUGAUGAUGGUGAAAAUUCAGAUGAGUUGACGUAUAUUUUACCUUCUAUUUGCCCCAGCACAAAAAAUAAAUAAAUUUUUUAAAAAAUGUAAAUAAAAAAAGCUCUCUCACAUGUUCUGUGACUUAUAGAUACGAGUGAUUUUGAAAAUGGUGGUGCUAUAGAAGAACAAGAGGAAUUCAACUCCGAAGCCAACAUUCAACUCGACCUCGAAUUACAGGAGAUCUGCACAGCGUGGAAUGAAUUCUUCCAAGUCCAGAAUCUGACUCCAGAAGCACUGGGACACAGUGACUUUUAUCCCAUUUGUUUGUGUUCAUGUUUGGCUGAGUGGUGGUGGUCCUUGUGAACGUGGUUGCGUUAUUAGUGGAGCUGAUCCUAAAAGCACAUGAAAAUAGAAACUGGCCAGCGUAUGGUGGAUCUCCUACCGACUGAAUGCGUCUUUGCUGUGUGCUGCCUUGCUUUACAAAUAUCUGCUUUCUGGAAGAAGAACAGAGAAAGGGUUAGAAAAGACAUCGACUGGCUGCAACGGACGUAUGGGUGUAAACAGAAACACUGGGGUGUAGGCUUCCUGGGUUUGGCUCCAGGUUCCCCGUGACCCUGAAAAGGAUAAGUGGUAUAGAAGAUGGAUGGAUCAUACAAACGCAGGGCUAACCUCCACAAUGUGAUGAACGUGAACUUGAGAAUCUGCCUCCUGCACUUGGGGUCUUAGCAGAAAAUUACAGAUCGGAUAUGAGUUCUGAGAGAGAGAGGAGUGCACACAUGACACUGGGCGGUGUGCUGAACGAGAUGCGGUUGAAGGAGGAGCAGUGCGAUGUGGUCCUCAGAGUGGACGAGGGGGAAUUCAAGGCCCAUAAGAUUAUCCUCUGUGCACGCAGCCCAUAAUUCAGGCCAGAGACACGCCCUCCGUUUAAACUCUCUCAAACUACAGCUUUCACAUCAUCAUCAUCAUCAUCAUCAUCAUCAUCAUCAUCAGGAUUCCAAUCCGUGAUUUCCAGACUAUAGAGCAAACUGUUGUUCCAAAUAUAUUUCCUCGUCCUGAUAUUCCAGAGCCUUAUUCACGAAAGGGAGCAGCUCGGAUCAGACGGUGUACACCAUCAUGAAUGUAUCUCCAAACAUCAUGAAGUUUAUAAUCCACUACAUCUACACCCAGGAUGUUCGAGUCACCACUGAUAAUGUGCAGGCUCUGUUGGCCAUGGCUGAUUACCUGCUCAUGCGAGACCUUGUUCGUGUCUGCUGUGACUUCCUGAAGGCACAUCUCAGCCUGGAAAACUGCUUAGGGAUUUGGCAGCACGGCAAUGCUCACUCGUACAAUGAGCUGCAGGAUCAGGCCCAACCUACGCGUUGCAUGUCACAUCCAGGACAUGACUAUCGUCUGCGGUGCGGUGAGCUGCUGUGUGAUAUCCAGGCUUCCCAACAUACACUGUCACAUACGAUGACCUUCUGUAGACAUGGAGCUUUUAAAAACGCUAUUAAACCACAUCCCAUUGGCAGAA